AAAGGCCCCAGGGCUCAGCACCAGCAAGGACUGCUGUUGGCUUAGGGGAGAGAACACUGCUCUUUCCUUGUUUCCCUUUUCUCAUUAUUUUUGAGUUAUGCAAAGUUCCAAGUGCUGAGGCAAAGCUAGUCACAGGCGGGGUGAAAUUUCGGACAGCAGGAAAGCAAAGUGAGAUUUGGCUUUAUCCGUUCUUUUCCAAUCAAAUCUCCAUACUCAAAUCACUGUCGCAGAGCAAUGCCUAGGACGUGGGUUUGUUUGGAUAUACAAGCUGUGACGAUUUGUAGGCGACUUGAUUUUGCUGCUAUUAAUGCUGCGGGAGUGAAACAGAAAAAUGCCUGUAUUCACUGGCAAAACCAAAUGGGCUUAAUACUAAAUCAGAGCGAUGAAUCCUGCUGCGACCUGGUGUAGUCCUCAGGACUUUUCUUCCCAAGUGCGUGGAUAUGUGGAGAGGUACUCCUUGGGAAGAGAGAUGAAGGACAGAACAACUGAUAGUUCAGACCUGAAUUAACAAGUCUAACUCUUUUUGCAGCACUGCUUUUGAAUUUGCCUACCUCUCAUCUUGACUGAUCUUCCCUGCUGAUGAGAAACCAGCCUGAGGUGCCUUCAUUCUGCAGCUCAACUCUGAAGACCCCUCGCCUCUACCUCCAAGACCUUGGACACUCCUGCAGCUUCACAAAAGCACCAGCAAAUCCAUGCAUCUAAUAAACCUGCCUAUAUCCUGAGAGCUCAGGCUGGGUUUAAGCUACUCUUACAUACACCAUAAAUACAUAAACCAUUACAUACAUGCAUAAACCAGUAUACACCAUCACUGUUCACCUGAUGUUGUGGGGAAUUAUGCAGUUAGGCAUACAAAAGGUGCCCAACUCUCCAUGCUAGUUGUGUGCUCACAUGGACUCCAUGGUGACUCAACACAGCCAAGGCACACGUUCGCACUAGCUAUUAGAUGUUUUCUCUCAAAAAGUCACAUCUUCAGGUCUGUUAUUUGUUAAGACCUGCUCCAGCUUCUUGUGUCAUGUCACCCCAGGCAGAAAUCAAGAUCCUCUUAGUAUUCGUAGAAAAGAGUAAUUGCAGGUCUCUGCCUUUUCUCCAGUUUAAAGUGGAGUUAAUUUGUCAUAGUUCUAGGAAUCAGAAUAACAAAUUCUACGUGCCUCCAAAAUUGCUUUGACCUUGUACUAUGAUUUGUGCUGGAGCAAGGUCCAUUUAGACUACAAAACACAAGGGUAGUAUUUAUUUAACUGAUUAUGCUGCAUUCUUUUCUUAUGAAUCACUCUCCACAGAUGGUACUUAUGCCAUGUCCUACUUUCUCACUUGACAAACAACUGCUCUAAGACUCUCUCAUAUUUGGUCUUGCAUGAAUGUAACUGCAUUGAAUGCAAUGGAUUUAUUUAUUAUUUAUAUUGGUGUCAACAAAGUUGGACACAGGGCCUGUAAAAGUAAAAAAAUGCCCCAGAUACUUGUAGAAUUCAAUAUGGCAAGUUCAUUAUUUAUAAAAUGAUUGUUUCUGUUGCAGAACAUUAUUGAUAUUGUUAUUCUGUGAGCUUUCCACAUGUACAACUGGUACAUACAACUGUACAUAGUCAAUACUGCUUGAAAUUAAUAAGACUGGUAGAAGGUUUUUCGAUCAAUAUAUUCUUUCCAAAGAAUAUGCAACAGUGUGUAUGAGGGAAUUGAUUCUGUUUUCACAGAGGUGUAAAUAAGAAACAAUUCUUAGAAGUGAAAGGAAUUGUAAAAACAGGAAACAAGAAGGCCAUAUGUGAUGUAAAGAUUAACAUACAUUUUAAAUACAACUUUGCGGCACUUUGGAGACCAUUUGGGGAUUACAGUAAUUUUAUAUUCAGUAAAAAGCGGUUCUCAAUUACAGAGCCAUGAGUUACUUCUAGUGAUGAGAAAAAAAAAAAGAAAAAAGUUUUGUUUUGUUUUUUUUGUUUUGUUUUUCCUGCAAAAGGGUUCAUCAACUUACUCUUGCAAAUCCCUACGAAAGAGUCUGGUUGCAUGAAUAGCACCACGAGAAGAAAGCAGUGAAAACGAGCAGUGUAAAGACUACAUGUGUGAAAACCAGCCUACGAAGUUCAAGGAGUAAUUUAUUAUUGCAGAAGCCCUUCCAUUCUCUAAGGGAGAAAAGGAGGUACAAUCGCCCUGUGACCCAGGGAAGAGACGAGAACGGCUUUGGAUCUGCUGUAGGUUACCCCUGCAGGCUCUGUAUGAUGAAAGGAAUGUGCAAUGGCUGUAAAGAAUUGACAUUUACUGCCUUCCUUUAUUUUUUUUCUUCCCCCCUUGGUGAUUUCCUUUACUCGUCCUGCUCUGAUUACAGUUCAUGGUAAUCAGCACUGGUUCUUUGACUAAAGCAAGAUCUCCUAACUAAGCCCCAAAUAGAUGAGCUCCUCUGUCCCAGCAUGGCCAUGGGGGAAAGGAAAGCUUAGGCAUCACCCAUGAAGCACUUCUUAAAAGCAAUUAAUGCACGCACGACACUACCACUUGCCUCUUUUGCCUAAUCCACCCAGAGAGCAUGUCUCUGCUCCAUGGAGCAAGCGUGGAUUUAAACCCCAUAAGUGUUACUCAAAUGUAAGGAUGUCAUAUAUCCCUGCAGCCACAGUAUUAUGGUCAGCUUUUGCAAGCUAAUAGAUUUGGAUUUAGACAGCUUUGGUAAAGGAGCCUGUUAAGCAAAACAGAAAGUAUUGCACAAAACGGGCUGAGCAAUUGUGUUGUUUAUACUUGUCCUUUGAUGUAGAAUUAGCUGCACUGAGGGAGGUGCCGUCUCUGUAGGAGCUGUUAGAUAUGUGUCCUGGACACUGAGAGGAAUUGACAACCUGAUGGCAUUUUCUACUGGAUAUUUUAGGUGUCCUGGCCAAACUACAAUUUGAGUAAUUACAUCCUGCCCACCUCUGCUGCUGUUACACUUUCAAUCAGAUGUAAUGUUAUUCACAUCCUGUCCAAAACAACUGUAUGCUGUAAAUAUAGCUAUUUCACUUUUUCCAGAGGUGACUGGUUUUCAGCUGUGGCUUAGGGCUCCUUGCAGAUGUAAAAAAUAAAUAAAUAGGACUUCCAGAUAGAAAUAUUAUGUGCAGGCUGAAUUCUCUUUUCACAUCAACUGUAAUACCUGAUUUUCAUGCAUUAACCCCAGACCUUAUUAUUUUCUACCAAGUGCCCAGAAAUGCAGAAUCACUCAGGACCUUUUCUGCUCGGUACCAUGUGAAUCCGUAGUGACAGUCCCAGCUGGGAAGAGUUUGCAGCCUGAAUACCUAAGACAGUCCAGAUAAAACAUAAGCCUAACAAAACCAAAAGUCUUGGACAAGGUCAUUCAUGUCUCUUUGUCUCUGUGGCAGCCUGGGGACCUUGCCUGCUGUUCAGGUUCCUGCAACUUUUGAACAAAGUUUCUGUUCAGUUACCUUUCCCCCUUGACUGGUUUGUAUAUGUAUAAGCUGAAUUUGUUUUUGCCUUUUAAAGAUCUUGAAUUCCCUCUUGCCUUCCUCCAACAAAAGCAUGAAGUCACUGAAGUCUAUUUUUUUACUUACUUGCCGCAUUUUUAAAGUGGACAUUACUUGAGUUGAUGCUUAGAAGCGUCUACUUUAACAGCAUUGCUGUUUAAAGUUGGAUGCUCUGAGUCUUCUCCUGGCACCUGUCUGGAAUGAGCCCCUUUGCUUGAGGCCGCAGCUUGUUUAGCAACAAACCAAAAGCACUGGAAAUCCCAUCUAGAAUUUGUAUUGCUCGUUGCUGCAAGUGUGCCCACUGGGAUGGACCAGAGAGGGAGACCAUGUCCCUGCCCAAAGCGCCUUUGGUACAAGAUGACAAACAUCGCAAACUAGAGGCAAAACACCCCAGGGCUCCCAAAGAUGAUGUGAUCUAUAGCUCUGCCUGGUAUACUUUCUUUUUGCUCUCCCUUUUCCCCCUCAGUCUGAAGGGGUGAAUUAAAGCUGAUGAGCUUUCUGGCAGCAGCAUGAUCCAAGAAGGGAUAGAUAGAUAAAAGAUAGAGGGGAUGGUGAGCAUGCCAGGAUGGUGUGUUACAGUGGCAGAUGAGGGACAAAAAAAGGAAAAUUCUUAUGAGCAAGGUCCUGAAGUUUUGACAAAGCUCCAGUGAAGUUCAGAGAGAGCUUGCCUGACGGGAGAUCUGACUCAUUAAGAGUGCUAAACAGUUCAUAUUAAGCUUACCGCCCAUUAAAGCCUUUUGCUAUGUGCCUCAGACACCAGCAUUCAGGUUGGGGUCAGAUAUGGUAAUAAAGCAUAAGCUUCAAUUUUAGGCCUGAAUGUAGGUUUUUAAAUUUUAUUAUUAAUAUUAUUAUUUUGUUUCAGUAGAAAUAGUCACACGGUUGAAUGCAAAUAUAUGCUACUAUUUUGCCAGGUCUCCUGUAAAAAACAGAGGAGAGAAACCUGAUGGACAGCCAGCAUCAACAAUUUAACACUGAACUGUUAGUGGGAGAGCACAGUUUGUAUAGCCCACAGCUCUAGAAGGGAACACUACUGGGUUGGAGGGAAGAUAUUACAGGCUUAAGGACCUGUCCCAGGACCAUUUUUUUAUAGAGGUAUAUUUCAAAACCCUACAGAUGAUGUCUAAGACAGCAGAGAGGCAAUAUUACCACUGUAAAACCUGCUGGCUGCAGCACAGCCAUCAACCAGUCCUAACUCUGCUAUAACCAUGCUGCAAUAACCACUGUUCAAAAUAAAUUGUCACCUCUUUUCUCCAGCCGCUAUUACCAUUUCUGUGCAUGAAAAGUAAAAAGAUGUUUCAUUUCAUCUGCUUCUUGUGGGAUUGAAGUGCUCUUGUAUGUGCCAUACUCCCGGUCUGAGGAGUAAUAGUAAAAUACAACUUGAAUUCUUAA